UAGCCGUAAAACGAUACUCGCUAGGUGUCGGCCACGGUGCGACCGUUGUCGGUGCCGUAGGGAAGCCGUGAAGCGAGCCACCUGGGAAGUACGGCCGCAAGGCUGAAACUUAAAGGAAUUGGCGGGGGAGCACAACAACGGGUGGAGCUCGCGGUUUAAUUGGAUUCAACGCCGGAAAUCUUACCGGGACCGACAGCAACAUGAAGGCCAAGCUGAAGACUUUGCCGGAUUAGCUGAGAGGAGGUGCAUGGCGUAGUCGUGU
rnacentral:rRNA from 1 species